rnacentral:tRNA from 1 species
ACUGUCGUGGCCGAGUGGUUAAGGCGAUGGACUAGAAAUCGUUUGGGAUCUUCCCGCGCAGAUUCGAAUCCUGCCGACAUCG